rnacentral:rRNA from 1 species
UUAGGAAUCUUGCGCAAUGGACGAAAGUCUGACGCAGCGAUGCCGCGUGGAGGAUGAAGGCCUUCGGGUUGUAAACUCCUUUUAGUCGGAGCGAAAUAAAUGACGGUACCGGCAGAAAAAGCACCGGCAAACCCUGUGCCAGCAGCCGCGGUAAUACAGGGGGUGCAAGCGUUACUCGGAAUCAUUGGGCGUAAAGCGCGUGUAGGCUGCUUGUUAAGUCUGGUGUGAAAUCCCCGAGCCUAAUUCGGGAACAGCACUAGAUACUGACAAGCUUGAGUAUAGGAGGGGUUAGUGGAAUUCCUGGUGUAGAGGUAAAAUUCGUAGAUAUCAGGAGGAACAACAGUGGCGAAGGCGACUAACUGGACUAUUACUGACGCUAAGGCGCGAAAGUGUGGGGAGC